rnacentral:rRNA from 1 species
UAGGGAAUCUUCGGCAAUGGACGGAAGUCUGACCGAGCAACGCCGCGUGUGUGAAGAAGGUUUUCGGAUCGUAAAGCUCUGUUGUUAGAGAAGAACGUUGGUAGGAGUGGAAAAUCUACCAAGUGACGGUAACUAACCAGAAAGGGACGGCUAACUACGUGCCAGCAGCCGCGGUAAUACGUAGGUCCCGAGCGUUGUCCGGAUUUAUUGGGCGUAAAGCGAGCGCAGGCGGUUCUUUAAGUCUGAAGUUAAAGGCAGUGGCUUAACCAUUGUACGCUUUGGAAACUGGUGGUCUUGAGUGCAGAACGGGAGAGUGGAAUUCCGUGUGUAGCGGUGAAAUGCGUAAGUAUAUGGAGGAACACCGGUGGCGAAAGCGGCUCUCUGGUCUGUAACUGACGCUGAGGCUCGAAAGCGUGAGGAGCAGACAGG